AAUUUUUUGUUUAAUCUAACUCUAUCUUCAUAAUUGUUGUGCCACAUGUUCUCAAAUGCUUUAUUUUAAGCCUUCUUCCAUUAUUCCAUUCAACCCUCAACACAAAUGGUCACUUAUCAUUAGCUCCCAAAUGGUUUAUGUUAAUAUUAUCCCUAGAGAUGUAUUGGAAUGCAUUACAUAUAGUUGUGGGAUGAAAAUUUGAUGCAGCAUUACAUCUUUUAAUGCAUUACAUAUAGUAAAGCAUUUAAAGAUGUAAUGCAUUACAUAUAGUUGUGGGAUCAAAAUUGACUAAGGCAUUUCAAAAGAUUGACGACGUGGAGAUUUCAAAAGAAGUGAUAAAUGAUCAUACGAUAAAAUUCUUGUUCAUUUUGAUCAUUACAUAUAGUUCUUAGAUAGAUUUAUUC
rnacentral:lncRNA from 1 species